UAAAAUCUCUAUCUGAGAUAAAUAUUCAGAAGUAGGAUUCGUAAGUCAUGUGCUAAUUCUUAUUUUAACAUCUCUAUGUGUGGUGCAAGUGCAUGCCGUGGUUAUCUGGGAAUUCCACACCCACUUGCCUAGUUUCUUGCCAUAAGAAGCACUGGGUUUACCAAUGUGCACUGCCACCGGCAGCUUUUUUUGUGGCUUCUGGAAUUAAGUGGCAGGGCCUCGUGCUUAUGUGACCAGAACUUGCCCCGCUAAGCCAUUUCCACAGUCCUACUGUCCUGUGUAAUGCCUAUGGUAUUUUACUUUCCUCUCAAAAGUGCUCUGUUUGUAGGACAUCCUUGCCAAAACCUGUUCUGUUUGGGUUUGUGGUUUUGGUUUUGUUUUCUGUUUGUAGCACAAGGAGUGUGAUAGUGACUGGACACCUGGUAGUACUGGCUCAGAGAAGGUACUGUAAUGACAAGCCUCUUCUCUCUUGCCUCAAUUGGACAGUGGCCAAUUUAUUAAUGGGUACAAUGUGUCUUUGUGACUCUGGUUUGCACUUCCCUGCUGGCUCAUGAUGUUGACCCUGCUGUUAUUUUAUUUGGGGAAACUUCUACUUAAUCCGUUUCUCUCAUUUUAAUCAGCUCUUCUUUUGUUGUUAUAGAUUAGUGUGUUCCAAGCAUUAACCCCUCAUCGUGACUGUGAUUGGCAAAUGCUCUUCCUAUCCAUUUGAUUUCAUACAGACUGUUUUUAUUUACACACCGACAUUUUUCAGUUUUAAUGCCAGAGUCAUGUCCAGGAAUUAUUGUGGCAUAUGUUGUCUUGGAGCUACGUCACAUUUUCUUUUAGGAAUUUUGCUGUUUUAAGUCUUGUUAUAGUCUUCAUUUUGAGUUAAUUUUUAUUAUUGUAUAAGGUACAGAUUCUGUUUCAUUUUUUUAGCAUGUGUAUAUCUAGCUUUCUCAGUAUGUUUGUUGAGCAGACAACACUUUCUUUGUAUAGCAUUGGUCCCUUGCUGUGGAACAUAUGACCAUGUGAAUGCAAAGCUUUGCAUUGUUUGCUAUGUAUUUGGUUCUGCUGGUCUUGUAUCUGAUUCUAUGCUAUAGUUUUGGUUUAAUUUUUACCACACUGAUAGUGUUUCAUUAUUAAAAUAUAUAUUAUAUGGUUAUUUUGAAAUUACUAUGUACAUACCUAGAAUUAAAAUACAUAGAAAUUAACAUAUGAAAUUAGUAUUUUUCUAUUUCAAACUUAGUAGGCUACCAGUGACAAGCAUACCAAAAUACCUUAGUAUAGUUGUUCAAAUUUCUUAGAAUGUAAUUUUAUUCUAAAAUGUAAUAUUUUUAAUUAAUAUUUUUGAGAUUUUUGAAAAAUUAUAUAUAUGGAUAUUUUGUCAGCAUAUACAGUAUGCACUGUGUGCAUGCAGUGUCUAUUGAGGUUGGAGGGCAGAAAGCAGUAUUGGAUCUCAGCCAUGUGCCUGCUGGAUCUUCUGGAAGAACAACCAGUACUCUUUAACUGCUGAGCCACCUCUCCAGCCCCUGUUUUCUUUUUUAAAAAUUCUGUGUAUAUCAAUACUUGCCCUUCCAUUUCAGUGUUUAGUUAUAAAACAUGCUCAAAUUUGUAUACAAAUAUCCUGAUAUUUUGAGUUAAUAAUAAUUCUGUCAUUUUUGUUUCUUUAUAAAAAAUCUAUAACAAGUCUUUGAGCAUUCUCUUUUAUAACGCUAACCAUGCUUGAUCUGUGUAUGCUUUGCCAAUCUUGUUACAGUCUCACAAAUUGCUUGUGGAUAUCAAAGGAUGAAGAUGAUAAUAGAUCCCAUUCAUCAAGGGUUUAUUGUAUGUCAUGUACUGGCCCAAGGCUUUAAUUAACCUCUGUAAUCUUCAUAGAGCAGUGCAGCGAUGGUUCUCCUGUCAGCUCGUCUUGUAGAUGAGGCGAUGAAGGCUGAGGAUGUCUACACUCCUCGCCCAAGGCCAGGGCACUAGGGUAGAAGAGCAGGAUAGACUAGCAAGUAAUUGCUUGGAUGUAAACAGCACUUGACUCUCUUUCUAUUGGUGACUUUACGUAUGCGUUAUGACAAAGUGUCUGUGAGUGAAUGUCACAUGUAUGUGGACACUCUGGAUAAGAGUUACCAAUAGUCAUGAGCCACCUGAUAUGAGUGCUGGGAACCUCUUGGGGCCUUGAGAAGAGCAAUUCUUGUUAUUACCUGCUGAGUAUCUUCCAACCUUUGUUACACAUCUUGAAAUAAACGAAUGAUCUCCUGUUCUGUAUCUUUGGUUUUCAGGAUGGACAGCCUGAAAUUUUAUACAUGUUUUGGAAUGCAGUCACCCUGGCACUUUCUUCUCACUUUCAUUCAGCAACAAACUGUAAGUUACCAUCCAUUUGGAUUCAUUUCAGAUGUUUAGUUACUUUAAAAUUUGAGGUCAAAAAUAUUGGUUCAUAAAAAUAACUUAUGUUAAAACUAUCAUCUUAACAUAAAUAAUGCUUAAUGAGGGAUCUCUUAGCCACUUGAUUAGUUUUACAAUUAAUAUUUAGAAUAAAAUUCUUUUUGUUGUAGUUGAGACAGGCUUUCUCUAUAUAACAACCUUGGCUCUCCUGAAACUCACUUUAUAGAUGAGGCUGGCUUCAAAAUCACAGAGAUCUACUUGCCUCUGCCUUCCAAGGACUGGAAUAAAAGGCGUGUGCCACCAGUCCCAGCUUAGAAUAACAUUCUUAAUUGAGCUGAGUAUUUCCUAUAUAGAUAAUUUAAAGCCAUUGAUGUUAAUUUAGUUAAUGCUUUACUAGAGUGAAUUCUUUUUUAAAUGAAGCUAUAAAAAUGAAAAUUUGAUACAAGUAAAGAUAGGAACUGUGAGUUACAAGUUGGUUGUUAGAAUAUGAUUCUCUUGGACCUAUCAGAUGGCUCAACAAGUAAAGGCACUUGCCACUCAAGGCUGGUGACCUAUGUUUUAUUUCAGGAUCCACAUAAAAAUAGAGAAAACUUACAUGGUUGUGUGAGAAGUGCUAUUUUUUUAAUAUGCAGAGCUAAAUAAGCUGUAUUGCUUAAAACCAAACC
rnacentral:lncRNA from 1 species